rnacentral:piRNA from 1 species
UAAGGAUGUAUGUGGUUCAGUAGUAGAA